CCUGCACACAGAGAAGACAUGAGGUCCUCCUCACAGUCUACAGAGAAGACAUGAGGUCCUCCUCACAGUCUACAGAGAAGACAUGAGGUCCUCCUCACAGUCUACAGAGAAGACAUGAGGUCCUCCUCACAGUCUACAGAGAAGACAUGAGGUCCUCCUCACAGUCUACAGAGAAGACAUGAGGUCCUCCUCACAGUCUACAGAGAAGACAUGAGGUCCUCCUCACAGAGCUGCACAGCACAAAACUAAAACUAAGGACACAAGCACAGAAAGUAAGUACUAUACACAGAGAGUACUAUACAUAGAGAAUAUUAUAUACAGAAGUACUAUACACACAGAGAGUACUAUACAUAGAGAAUACUAUAUACAGAGGUACUAUACACAAAGGCACCAUACACAGAGAUACUACCCUACUAGCAUAAGGAUCCGCAGCGGAUCCGCUUUCGCUCCGCCAAAUCCGCCCCACAGUCCGUCCGCUUUGCGGAUCCGCUGCGUAUUUGUUCCGUAUUCACAUUCUGACUGUUGCUAACCCUAACCCUUGGAUGGCCUGCUGUUACAGAGAGAAUCUGCGGUUAAAUCAUCUUAGAUCCGCACUGUGAACGUACUUUUAACACAACACUUUGUUUUUGACACAAUGAUUUGUACUAUCAAUGCGCGGAUCCGCGGCUAACCCGGUUCGGAUUCGCUGCGCGGACGCGCCACUGACUCAUCAGCCGUUAUCAGAACCUGAGAGAAAGAAACAACAUCCACCUGUUGUCCGUGGAUUUCACUUUUUGACGAGUGCAGUAGGAAAGUUAGCGACAGGAGCAGCUGACGUGAUGAAGACGAUGUGAGGUCAGGAGUCAGGAUAACUCCAUCUCUUGAGCUAGAUCCCAGUCUAAAUACUAUUUUUAUAUAACGGUACUUAUAUUCUUGUAUAUUUUUACGAUCACAGAAUUGUAAUUCUGCUCCGUGAUCAUUGGUCGUGUCUAACGGGCUCGGUUCUGGCUGGACGCCGCUCUCGGCGCUCUCCCUUCGUCUGUGGAGCGACGGUGACACCGGUGUCUGAUCUGGUUGUGUUUUUAACCAGAGAUAAUUAUUAUUUGUGUAGACUAGAGUGUUGACUGUUGAGUUGAGACUAAAGUGCAUCAUGUCAGUGCCUUAAUACAAUAAUUUAACGCAACGUGCCAUAAUACAAUAACGUAACGUAAUAAAAAGCACAACUUUUAACAGCUAACGUUAGAUAACCAACCAAAACUUGUGUUGUUUUUCCCCAGAUGACAUCAGGAGCCCCUGUCCUUCUGCUGAGUGUCCCCAUCAGGAGCCCCUGUCCUUCUGCUGAGUGUCCCCAUCAGGAGCCCGGCACGCUGAUCAGAAAAUAUACUAUGGUUAAUAAGAAGAUGGACAUAACAGCAUGAUAAAGACCCUCUGGAGAAUUCCCUCUGCUGGGCCAAGUUCCAAAAAUGUAGAGACAGACCCUGUAACAUGCUGUGGUGGAGUUUAAAGACUGAGCCUCUAUGCUGUGAGAAAGGGGAAGCCCAGAGCUGGACACUGACAGACUGGAUCUUCACCAGUAGGACUGAAGAGGAGCCAGACUCACUACACCUCUGCCUCAAAACAUCUGCCUCAGACUGAAGCUAAAGACAGAGGCUCUGAAGCUCCCACACUGCACACUCUAUAAGAACAACCACCCGUCUAAUUGUUCUGUGGUGGUAAACACAAGUUAAGUUUGAGUUUGAACAGUAUGGUAUGGCUACACUCUGUCUCAUCUGUCCAGGCUUUUACUCAUAUAGCUUAUAUUUGUUUUUUGCCAUUUAAAAAAAAACAAAAACUUUGCUUAACUUGAACUAUUUUUAGUAAAAACUGUAAAUUGUCAUUUUCAUAUUAAGAAUGAAGCAUUGGUUAACUCGAAGGGUAUAUAAGUCCUAUAACAUUAAUAAUGAUUAUUCAUGUCCUAAGAUUUCUAAUUAAUGAUUUAAAUAAAUAUUGUUUACAAUGUAAAAAA